UACGUAGGAGGCGAGCGUUGUCCGGAGUUAUUGGGCGUAAAGGGUGCGCAGGCGGCCUACCGCGUGGGGGGUGAAAUCGCUCGGCUCAACCGGGCGGGUGCUUUCCAGACGGGUAGGCUUGAGGGGCGGAGAGGGGCGCGGAAUUCCGGGUGGAGCGGUGAAAUGCGUAGAUAUCAAGAGGAACACCUGCGGCGAAGGCGGGUUGCUGGGCCGACACUGACGCUGAAGCGCGAAAGCCAGGGGAGCGAACGGG
rnacentral:rRNA from 1 species